GCAAUAGCCAAUAGCACGUUCAAUGUACCUGAUCUCAAUGGUCAAUUUAAGUUAAGCAACGUUGCACGAGGUUGGUAUCCGGAUAGGUGACCGUCUGGACAAUCCCCUGUUGGUUUUUAAC
rnacentral:rRNA from 1 species